rnacentral:lncRNA from 1 species
AAACCCCGUUAUAUUUUACCUUAGUACAAGAGGCGCGGAGGGUAUCUCCUAAGGUAAGUUUAGAGUUCACUUCACGUCGAACCACCACGUGAGGAUGAAACUCAACCAACGCCAAGGAAUUACUAUAUUUUAAAAGUAAAAACAUGUUUUAUGGGCGUAUGUCGUUUUAACAUCCUUGGCGGACUCGGUUGGAUGCCCGGGCCAAGGUGUCCCCGAGUAUGAGUUUUGGCACAAGCCAAGUUUUUAAGAGAAUCAUAAGCCUUGUUGAUUAUUUUGAUGAAAUGUAAUUGUUUUAU